UACGUAGGGUGCGAGCGUUGUCCGGAAUUACUGGGCGUAAAGAGCUCGUAGGUGGUUUGUCGCGUUGUUCGUGAAAACUCACGGCUUAACUGUGAGCGUGCGGGCGAUACGGGCAGACUAGAGUACUGCAGGGGAGACUGGAAUUCCUGGUGUAGCGGUGGAAUGCGCAGAUAUCAGGAGGAACACCGGUGGCGAAGGCGGUUCUCUGGGCCUUACCUGACGCUGAGGAGCGAAAGCGUGGGGAGCGAACAGG
rnacentral:rRNA from 1 species